rnacentral:rRNA from 1 species
UACAGAGGUCCCAAGCGUUGUUCGGAAUCACUGGGCGUAAAGGGUGCGUAGGCGGCGCGGAAAGUCAGGGGUGAAAUCCCGGGGCUUAACUCCGGAACUGCAUUCCAUACUGCGGUGCUUGAGGACUGGAGAGGAGACUGGAAUUUACGGUGUAGCAGUGAAAUGCGUAGAGAUCGUAAGGAAGACCAGUGGCGAAGGCGGGUCUCUGGACAGUUCCUGACACUGAGGCACGAAGGCCAGGGGAGCAAACGGG